UGGCACUUGAGAAACUGUGCAAAACAGCAGCCUAGACAUCAGACUACCUGGCCAGCAGCUGGGGGAAAUGAAGCUGUGCUGAGCUUGGGGAGGUCUUUUCACCUGAGCAAGGUGGUAAAGGAUGAUCACAUGCUCUUAGCAUGGUGAUGCAUCCUCAACCAACACGUGAGUUUGUUCCCUGGUUUGGACAGACCUGCUUCCUAUCUGUGGAUGUGUUUUCCCAAUCACUGGAAGAUGCAACUUAAUUCAUGGCAAUUUACUCAUUUGUUCAUUUGAUAUCUUUCUGGAGACACAUUCCCUGGAGGGCAGAGGAAACUGGAACUGUCUGCUGAAAUUAAUGGCUUUCUGCCUCAAAGGAACUGGAAGGAGGGCCUCCCAGGUGACCAAGGAAUCCACGGUCUCCCAGGUAAACUGUAAGAGCAUGGAGGUAUGAACACAUCACGCAAGGCUAUGGGUGAGUCGAGAUGGGAUUUGUGACUGGAGAGAGCCUCCGGGCCAGGCUGUGGUAAACACCAUCCAGGAUCCAAAACAAGAUGUGAGGAGAAGCGCAUUUCCUCUGGAGUCAUCUUCUGCCUCAUCCAAAACACUUUGCGUUUGAAAAAACACACACUCACUCUCUCUCUCUGAAGAGACCAGCCAAGAUCUGACCCCAGCCAAGAUCCAAAAAGGAGAGUGAGGGAAUAAAUGGGAUGAUUUGGACACAGAUGUUUGAAUAGAUUUCUCCUUAGGAGAGUUGAAUGGCUUAGGGAGACGGCAGAUAGAAACAUGCGCACAUAUACACAUCACUACCAAGGAUAAAGUCGGGUUGGUGCUAAUUUCUCCUUGUAUUGCAUUUCUUAAUCUUUGCUCUCGAAUGGGUCUUCCAG
rnacentral:lncRNA from 1 species